UUAUCUUUGAGAGUAAGACAAGCUUACUACUCGCUAACUCUCCAUUCGAUUUGAACAUAGGUGUACUGGUGCAGAUGACAUUUUCCCAACUAAGCCUGAAAAUGCCCGACCUUUGAUUCCUCCCCGUCCCAGAACAUGCACACACAGAGGUAAAACACAUACGUGUUUAAGUCUUUGAAUUAAUGUAAUUGUGAUUAUUGUGUUAACUGUGUAGUGUGUAAUUGCAGCAUUAUAGAGCAAAUAUUUGCAUUACUUCAUGUCAGUAUCUGUUCCAAGCUCGUUCGAAAUUUUUCAAACACACUUGGCUUUGUGAGUUUGUGCCCCUAUGCUUCUUUAUACUUAACUACGACAUUUUCA